CUCUGUCUCAAAAAAAGAAAACAUAAAUGAAUUUUAAAUUUAGACUUCGGUCCCAUCCCCAAAAUAUCUCGUAAUAUAUAUGCGAAUAUUUCAAAAUAAAAAAAAAAAACCUGAAAUCGGACACAUUUCUGGUCCCAAGCAUUUCAGAGAAGAGAUGCUCAACUGACACGGUGGGAGAAGUGAUGGGGGAAAGUGGUUGGUGGGAAAAGCCAAACGGGUAGACGAGAAAGAGACCGUGAUGGUUUUACCUGCUAUGCAAAUGUACUUAGUGUUGUCUGCAGCUUCAAAAGGGAGCCAGUGAUGAAGAAAUUGGAGGAAAGAAGAAAAAGGAAUGGCUUUCUGGUAAACACAUGGAGUAGGAACAGGAAGGAGGAAGACCACGGGCAGGCAGGGGCAACAGCAAGAGGACUUCUGUCAUAAUCCCAGCUGCACAUAAGAAAUCCUGACCUAGAGCAGAGGAGAUCCAGCGGCAACACGGUAGGGAUCACAGAGGCCGUAGGAGCUGGGCAGUGACACCGGGCAGAAGAAGCCAUCUGGCCUUUGUGUUUCUCAUCAGCAUGGCUCUGCACGUUGGAUCCAAUCUUGACACGGACUGUCAGCCUCUCUUCAACCUCAGAAAGGCCUCCUGUCCGUGUAAGGAAUCAGUGGGAUUGCUGAGUACUUCUUGAACCUUCUUUCACUCCACUCCCAGAGCCUGAAUGCCACAGGCAGCCACCCCACCAAGCCUUCAGACCUGGCCGCCUCACCUCGCUGUUUCUAACUCGACAUGACUGUACCGCCAUAGCUCUCUUACUUCUUUCUUGUGUUGAAUAAUAAAUAAAACACUUCAAGGGUUUCCCAUGAUCUGUCAGACUCCAUAGCAGACACAAAAGUUCCUCUAGCUUCAGGAUCCUAAUUUCCUUUCCUGUCAAACUUUUCUUCCCCCCCUUCCCCAAGUCCUCUGUACGGCAGUAAAGCUAUUGCUCGUAUUGUUAGUGCCAUCGGAAAUGUCCUUCCUUUGAUUUUUUUUCUUUCAACCUGCCAAAAUAACUCAACUGUGGCUAUCCUGAGGAUAUAUUGCAUUAUCUCUGGCCUUGAAGUCUCUCAAGUAGACAGAAAAAAAAAAAUUAUCCUACUUGAUUCAGUUGCUUACUACACUUAAUUUUCCCUUACAUUUUUUUUCUUCAAAUGAAAACCCUUAAGUUAGAGUUCUAGAUUUAUGCUGCUUUUAGAUGUCCUUAGAGUCAUGCUGGCAAAGAUAAAAAAUCAAGUUCAAUUUCAUCCCGAGACCUUGACAAUAAUUUCUGAUAAUGAUUUGACAUGAAAAGGUAUAUUGUUUGAAUGGGAUUGCGUAGUUCUAACCCACACAGAAUGGGCAGAAUAUAGGAAGUCUGAACCGACAUUUAUGCACAUCAAAUUGAGAAACAGAGUAUGAAAAAGUGAAUUGAGUCUCCCUGAGGGAAGAACAAGGAUCUCUUGAAAGAUCUUGAAUAUCAAAGGGAACUGAAUUUUAGAUCACGUUCCAGAAAUGUGCGUACAGAUUGGCUUUUUCUCUGAAUUCUCCGAGCUUGACACACGGAAGGUGUGCAGCAAAUGCUGUCGACUGACUUACACUGAGCUCAGAAAGGGAAAGGCUGGGAGGGUCGGCCCAAGAAGGGAACCAAGCAGGUGAAACUCAUGACACAAGGUUUGAAGGGAACUCUCUGUAAAAAAAAAAAUCUCCAAAUAGCCAAAGCAACCUCAAGCAAAAAGAACGAAGACCCCAAUGGCAAUCGC